AUGAAAACUCUCGCUUCUUUCAUGCGUCUGCCUCUGCCCGUCUCCGGAAAAAUAAAAUUAAUACUCUUGUCUCAAAUGGCUCGGAGUUCUUCUCCCACGAUGCUAAAUCCAACAUUCUGUCUGACUUCUACGCCUCCCUUCUCGGCACGGCCUUUCAGCCAACCUGGUCCUUCGCUCUCACGGACUUAUACCCAGAACCCGUUCCACAACUCUGCUCUCUGGAUGCCCCCCUUCACAGACGCCGAAAUCACCAAUGCCUUCCUCUCCAUGAACAAGAAUGCUAGUCCUGGACCGGACGGCUUUGGCCCUGGGUUCUACCGCAAAUUUUGGCACAUCCUCAAAGGGAAGAUAACUCAUUUCCUUUCAGACUUUCACGCCCAAAACAGCGAUAUCUCUUGCCUUAACCGGGCCCUCAUAAUCCUCCUUCCAAAGCAUUCUGAUGCUCGCUCCCCCGCUGACUUCCGCCCCAUCUCUCUUCAAAACUGUCCUAUCAAAGGAGUCGCAAAACUUCUAACAAAUAGGCUAAAACCCCUUAUCCCCCUCUUGGUGCAUGCUGACCGGGCCGGUUUCCUCUCUGGUCGUAACAUCUCUGAGAACUUCCUCUACGCUGCAGAUAUCCUUCACUGUUGUGCUAAAAGGAAAGCCCCCUCCCUCAUCAUCAAACUAGACUUUCGGAAAGCUUUUGACUCUGUUUGCUGGAAGACCCUCCUCCAUACCCUUCAGGUUAGAGGUUUCCCCCCUCGGUGGUGUGACUGGAUUAACUCUCUCCUUAACACUGGAUCCACUGCCGUUAUGCUAAAUGGCAUCCCGGGGAGGUGGAUUCAAUGCAAAAAUGGACUCCGGCAGGGUGACCCUCUCUCCCCUUACCUUUUCAUUAUUGUCGCCGAUAUCCUUCAACAAAUGAUCAUCAAAGCCAACAGCGAAGGUAAGUUGUUGCACCCCCUAAGCCCUCGCCUUCCCUGUCCCGUCCUUCAAUACGCCGAUGACACGCUUAUCAUAGUUAAAGCUACGCCCGGGGCCGCAAAACACCUAAAGAGUAUUCUAGAUAGCUUCGCUGCGGCCACUGGUCUCCAGAUUAAUUUUGACAAGACCACCUUUAUCCCUCUUAAUGUUGAUCCCACUAACGCAGCACUUAUGGCAGCUGACCUUGCCACUAACAUCUCCUCCUUCCCGCAAACUUAUCUCGGCCUUCCUCUCUCUCCCUACAAACUUCCCCCCUCAGCCUUCCAACCAGUCAUCGAUCGGUGUGAUAUCUACCUAGCUGGGUGGUGCGUGCUACUUCUCUCUCAUGGUGGCAAGCUUGUUCUCCUCUCUGCCGUUCUUGACAGCCUCCCUACCUAUUUUAUGCUCUGUUUCGCUCUUCCUGUCCAGGUUAUUGAAGCUAUCGACAAGAGACGACGUACCUUUUUCUGGUCUAACGAUGCCACUUGCUCUAGGGCAAAAUGCCUGGUUGCUUGGGAUAAAGUUUGUACCCCUAAGAAGCUGGUGGUCUAG
rnacentral:rRNA from 1 species